rnacentral:sRNA from 1 species
GAGGAGUCUGUCAAGGAGUGCCACCCUUUGCUGCCUUCACCAGUGAGCACAAAGCCACAUUUCAAAGGAAACUGACAAAUUAUCCCCAGCUGCCAGAAGGAGAAAUCCUCACUGGACGGCUUCCUGUUUCCUGUGGUUCAUUAUCUGAUUGGCUGCAGGGAUGAAAGUUUUUAAGUUCAUAGGAGUGAUGAUCCUCCUCACCUCUGCGUUUUCAGCCGGUUCAGGACAAAGUCCAAUGACUGUGCUGUGCUCCAUAGACUGGUUCAUGGUCACAGUGCACCCCUUCAUGCUAAACAACGAUGUGUGUGUACACUUUCAUGAGCUACACUUGGG